AAGUUUAAGACCAGCCUAGGUAAACAACUUAUCUCAAAAACAAUAACAAUAACAACAACAACCAAAAACUUAUAAAGGAAUCAGGGAUGCCUGGGAAAGGAAUCAUCUUUAAAUUGAAGAGAACAAAUAGUUGGAGGUCUGGAUCUGUAAGAGACAUACAUAUUCUUUUCUUUCUGUUCCGUUUUCUUCCUUAUGAAAAAUCUAAACACUUUCUAGGGCUCGGGCAAUCAAAUAGCAAGAAAGAUUCAAAACUAUUUUGUUCAAUAGCUCAUGUUGCUGAAUCUGGACUGUGGCUGAAUGAAAAGGAUGCCAGUUUCCCUGCAAGUUCAUGUGGCUCCAGUACAUAAGCAGAAUAUGGAAUAUGGAGGCAGGAGUUAUGAAAGAAAGGAUGAGAGGGGAGUCCCGAGUCACCACUAUAUCAUCCUCGAUUCGCACACCAAGACCUCGAAACUUCUCUGGAGCAUCUCUGUCAUCCUCUGGAAUAUAAAUGCCUGAGAAGUAGAGAGAAGAGUGCAUUGUUCAACAUGGCAGUAACUGGGUGAUCCUGGGCAAGUUAAUAUGAGUUAUAAUUUUUUAUCUGUGUCUGUAUCUUAAGCCUAUCAGAGUUAUGAGAAUUAAAUGAGACAACACAUUUAAUAGCGCCUGGCACAUAAUGAUCAAUAAUAUGGGAUAUUAUCAUUACUAGAAUUAUUAUCAUUACAGUCAUCUUGUGUAUUAGUCUACAGGCUCUACAUGACAAUGUUGAUUGUGAUUCCCUCAUAGUCUACUAGCUCACAUAGGACACUAAAGUUAGUUACUUAACUUAUGAAUAUGUCUAUACAUGCUGGGAACUAGCAGAUUAUAUAUGUACACUCCCUUUGCCUAAUGCUCCUCUGGAAAAGGGCAUGUGGCUAAAAUAAAGAUAAAAUAUAUAUUAAAUGUGUUUAAA